GACGAACGCUGGCGGCGUGCUUAACACAUGCAAGUCGAACGGAAAGGCCUGCUUUCCCUUGUGGAUUGCGGGUACUCGAGUGGCGAACGGGUGAGUAACACGUGAGUGAUCUGCCCCCAACUUGGGUAUAAGCCUGGGAAACUGGGUCUAAUUCCCGAUAGGACUGCAGGGUGGUGCCUGUGGUGGAAAACGAUUUUCUAGUGGUUGGGGAUGAGCUCUCGGCCUAUCAGCUUGUUGGUGGGGUAAUGGCCUACCAAGGCGGCGACAGGUAGCCGGCCGGAGAGGGUGGACGGCCACAUUGGGACUGAGAUACGGCCCAGACUCCUACGGGAGGCAGCAGUGGGGAAUAUUGCACAAUGGGCGGAAGCCUGAUGCAGCGACGCCGCGUGGGGGAUGACGGCCUUCGGGUUGUAAACUCCUUUCGACCGCGAGGAAGCCACCUGGUUGGAAGGGUGGUGACGGUAGUGGUAGAAGAAGCACCGGCUAACUACGUG
rnacentral:rRNA from 1 species